rnacentral:misc_RNA from 1 species
UAGCUUUGAUAUCCCAUGAACUGCUGAAUUCAGGUAGUUCAUCAACAUCAACCAACAGGAACAUCAGAGAAGGGUAUUUCUCAGACAACUCACGGUAGAAUGGUGCAAUCAUUCUACAAGGACCACACCAUGUUGCGCUGAAAUUCACCAAAACAGUUUUGCCAUCCUUAUUAGCUUCUGACACCUUCUGGUCCCAGACCUCUGUGGCAGUAAUGAGGUGCACAUUACUGCCAGCAAAUUCAACAUGCUGUUCAGAAUCAUCAUCCCCCUUAUCAGAGCAUAAGCAUUGUCCCAUAUCUGAUAUAGAUAGCCAAAAUUUUAAUCCCUAAUUCUCUUCCCCUUUUUUUUUCCUGGCUGGAUUUGACGGAGAAUACAAGAAAGAAAAUUCUGAAUUAUGGCAAGGAACCUUCGAUGAAGAAUAAGAAGACGAACCAGUAUCCAAAUUCGAAUUGGAAUUACAAUAAAAAAAACCCUAGAUUUAUUUUUAUCGGGAAAAAGAAGAAAGAAAAGAGGCACAAC